rnacentral:rRNA from 1 species
UACGUAGGGUGCAAGCGUUAAUCGGAAUUACUGGGCGUAAAGCGUGCGCAGGCGGUCUUGCAAGACAGAUGUGAAAUCCCCGGGCUCAACCUGGGAACUGCAUUUGUGACUGCAAGGCUGGAGUGCGGCAGAGGGGGAUGGAAUUCCGGGUGUAGCGGUGGAAUGCGUAGAGAUCCGGAAGAACACCGGAGGCGAAGGCGGCUUGCUGGACCUGGUCUGACGCUGAGGCGCGAAAGCGUGGGGAGCGAACAGG